rnacentral:rRNA from 11 species
CCUGAAGGAACGUUGAAGACGACGACGUUGAUAGGCCGGGUGUGUAAGCGCAGCGAUGCGUUGAGCUAACCGGUACUAAUGAACCGUGAGGCUUAACCUU